UUGCUGCACUAUUCAGAGUGUGCCUUUUGAUUGUUCAACACUGAUUAUUCUCAACUGAAUGCAUAAAUUGAAUAAACUAAACAGCAUUUUAUUUGAGGAAUGAGCCAACUCCUAGUGGAACUUAGUGGAGCCAGCUGCAGAACAGGGAGGGUUAGAUCUGACGCUGGCUGAACAGCGGCAAGUGACCAGUGUGACUCCCUUGGACAUUGGAAUGCCAAUUGCCAAACUGUCAGGAAACUCAAACAGGUGUGAACAGACACCGAGACAGUUUUUCAGAACAGGAAGAGGCUGGAGCUAAUCCAACAAGUCCGAAGAGUCAGCGAAUGGGAGGGCUGCUAGACAGGAAGCAAAACAAGAGAUGUAAGGGGCGAUGGUUCAAUAUAUUCUGUAGGCACCGGAAGGAGUCUUCAGAAGGGUCAUCUUGAAUGAUAAUGUCAGUGUCUUCAUUAGAGCCGCCCAGAGCUAUGUUUGUUUUUUGCAAUAACUCCUCCUUUUUAGUUA